rnacentral:rRNA from 1 species
CCUACGGGAGGCAGCAGUGAGGAAUAUUGGACAAUGGGCGCAAGCCUGAUCCAGCCAUGCCGCGUGCAGGAAGAAGCAUCUAUGGUGUGUAAACUGCUUUUGUACAGGAAGAAACACUCCCUCGUGAGGGAGCUUGACGGUACUGUAAGAAUAAGGACCGGCUAACUCCGUGCCAGCAGCCGCGGUAAUACGGAGGGUCCGAGCGUUAUCCGGAAUCAUUGGGUUUAAAGGGUCCGUAGGCGGUUUAAUAAGUCAGUGGUGAAAUCUGGUCGCUCAACGAUCAAACGGCCAUUGAUACUGUUAGACUUGAAUUAUAAGGAAGUAACUAGAAUAUGUAGUGUAGCGGUGAAAUGCUUAGAUAUUACAUGGAAUACCAAUUGCGAAGGCAGGUUACUACUUAUGGAUUGACGCUGAUGGACGAAAGCGUGGGGAGCGAACAGGAUUAGAUACCCUGGUAGUCCACGCCGUAAACGAUGGAUACUAGCUGUUCGGAGCAAUCUGAGUGGCUAAGCGAAAGUGAUAAGUAUCCACCUGGGGAGUAACGUUGCAAGAAUGAAACUUCAAAUUGAAUUGACGGG